GGGAGGGAGAGAGACAAAGCUAGUCGACGGUUUGAACGAGACCCACUGACCUAUCGACCCGCGUACGCGAUUCUACCGUGGCGUCCCUCGUACCUUCCUUCAUUUUUUCUUUCGAUCGAAUAAUCGUAGGAUACAAAUCUUCAUCUUUAUCUUUAUCACGCACAACACAUCAUCAUUGUUCUAAGGUAAAACAACAACGGGACGCGUCGUUUUGUUGUUGCCCGUGCAAAUUGACGACAACAACACAACGAAAACGAAGAAAACGAAAACGACGAAGACGAAGACGAAGACGACGACGAAGAAGAAGAAAACGACGACGAAGAAAAAGAAAACGACGAAGACGACGACGACGACUAUGCGCUGCUGUUCUUGGUGCGCGAAUCAACGAGUCGUUCUUUGAACGAGACCCACUGACCGACCUAUCGACUCUCUCAUCUACUAACCGAGCACCGUUUUCCUUCUCUCUCCUCUUUCUCCCCUCUUCUUCUUUCUAUCCGUCCACCCGUUCAGAAACAACCCUCCACGUCGUCAUCAACGUCGUCAUCGGCCCGUCGUCGUGUUGGUUUAUCGUCCUCGUCACCAAAACGUUAUUCUUCUUUCCUUCCUUCUUUCCUUCUUUCCUCCCUCUUCCCUUUCCCUUCCCUUCCUAUUCCUUCUACCUUAAGUCACCCUUCACUUCUCUCUCUCUCUCUUUUCUAUCAUCUAACACGCUCGGUAUUCCUUUUGAUAUCGGAUGCGUCGAACCUUAAGAAGGAUCUCCAUUGAUCAGUUCUAUCUAAAAGGAACAACAACAAGAAGAGACAAAAAAAGGAUAUGAAAUAAAAACUGCCCAAGAAUAAUAAUAUUAAUCACUGGCAGAAUAUAAUAACUUGGUAAUUCUACUCUGUUAUCGAACGUAAUCGAUGUCACGUCAUUCGAGAUCGUUAGAUCACCGUGUUCAUUGGAACAACUCAAUGCCUUCUUAUGAUAAUUGGAAUUCAUUGAGAUCUUGUUAUUGUCAUAAUUACGUGUAUCGAGAACCGCGUGAAAUCAGUUGUCGCGGUAAAUCGAAAAUAAACAGGAGGAAUGUAAUAAUAAAAGAGAAAGUUGUAAAAGAAGAAGAAGAAGGUUUUAGCAUCGUAAGAAGAAAUAUAAGAAUAAUAACAAUAACAAUAAGUUCGCUAUUAGCGAAUACAAUAUUCCUGUUGGCAUGGCGUCGAAAAUUAGCAACGAGAAUUUCGUUGACUUUAUUGAACAACUGACGUUGUUGUCCUUUUCAUCGUCACAGUCAUCAUCAUCAUCAUCAUCAUCAUCAUCGUCAUCAUCAUCAUCAUCAUCAUCAUUAUCAUCGUCGUCGUUGUCGUCGUUGUUGUUGUUAUUAUCCUUCGCGAGAUCGACGACUCCUCCUUAUCGUCGUUGCGUUCAACGAUAGGUCGGUCGGUCGAGCAUGUCGAGUUACCAUCGUGUGCUGCCUCCUCUAUCGAUCGUUUGUUCGUUAAAUUAUUAAACACACGCAUGUACACUCAUACACACACACACACACACACACACACACACAUAGACACACAUAUUCGUCAUCGUUUACGAAGAAACAUAAGAGAAAAAGUCUGAUUUCGCAACAACAACAACAACAACAACUUCAACAACAACUGCAACAUCAACUACAACAACAUUAACAUCAAGAAUAAGAAGAAGAAGAAGAAGAGCAAUAGACACGACUUUAAUACCUAACCCCAAGUGAUAGGAAAUCCAAGAGCCAAAGGGUUACGGAACGUGUCAGACUGACAUCGAGACAUUAAGGGGAAACUGUCGUCGCGAAAAAAACUUUAAGUAUUCACGAACUAGCGCGCUAGCUAGCUAGGUCGACCCUGAAAACCAUCGUGCCGCUUUAAAAUCGUCGUUUAGUCGAAUACGAUCGGUGUGUGUACGAUUACGAUCCAUUUUUAUUCAAUUUUUUUUUUUUGGGGAGUCAGUCCCACGACAGAUACGAAUAAAAAUUUCCAAAGAAAGAACAUAAAACAACAACAAAAUAUGUAUCCCACGUUUAAGAGAUAUUACUUUCUAUUAAUCGAUUUUAAUUGAAUAGAAGAAGUAAAACAAAUAAAACAUAAGCAAAAGAAGAGGAAAAAAAUUCAAUUGAAGAAAAAGCAGAAGAAAAAAAAUUAAAAAUGGCAGAGAGCGCGGCUAGUCCAGGUAGCGUGCAAGUCGCUGCCAAUAGCCCGCAACAACAGCAACAACAACAGCAACAGCAAACCCAGCAACCACCGGAUAUAAGCAGUUCGCAGUUAGCCUCACCACCGAUCACGGGAACAGCCCAGAUCGAGAUAAUCCCGUGCAAGGUGUGCGGCGACAAGAGCAGCGGAGUUCAUUACGGUGUGAUCACCUGCGAGGGUUGCAAAGGUUUCUUCAGGCGGUCCCAAUCGUCUGUAGUCAACUACCAAUGUCCGCGGAACAAAAACUGCGUGGUCGACCGUGUAAACAGAAACCGGUGCCAGUAUUGUCGUUUGCAAAAGUGCCUACGCCUUGGCAUGUCCAGAGAUGCCGUUAAAUUCGGGCGUAUGUCAAAGAAACAGAGGGAAAAGGUCGAGGAUGAGGUCAGGUUUCAUAGGGCACAAAUGAGAGCGGCCUCUGAAACGGCUCCCGAUAGCAGUGUGUUCGAGCAUCAAACGCCCAGCAGUUCGGAUCAGCACCACCCUUACAACGGCGGGUACCCGUACGGUGGAAGCGAAUACGCAUCACCAGGACCCGGUACAGGUGGUUCAGGUUAUUACAAUCAUCAAGCGAUGACGAAUUACGAGCUGAGCGCCGAUUACGUCGACAGUACGACGACCUACGAUCCUAGGCCGACGCAGACGCAAGUGACGGACACCGUUGCACCAGACACACCCUCAGCAGUCACGGCAACUGGAGUAUUACCCAGUGUGGUCACCACCGAUCCGGCACAGAUAAGCGAGCUGCUCUCGAAGACGAUAGCGGACGCACACGCGAGAACGUGCCUGGUGUCGACGGAACAAAUACAGGAGUCAUUCCGGAAGCCUCACGACAUAUCCAGAUUGCUCUAUUACAAAAACAUGGCGCACGAGCAACUUUGGCUUGAAUGCGCGCAAAAGUUAACCACUGUUAUCCAGCAGAUCAUCGAGUUCGCUAAGAUGGUCCCUGGAUUUAUGAAGCUCUCCCAGGACGACCAGAUUGUUUUACUCAAGGCCGGUUCCUUCGAGUUGGCUGUGCUACGAAUGAGCAGGUACCUCGACCUCGCGCAAAAUUGCGUCCUGUACGGUGACACGAUGUUACCUCAAGAUGCAUUCUACACGACGGACACGGCGGAAAUGAAGUUGGUUUCCUGCGUGUUCGAACUUGCUAGAAGCGUUGCCGAAUUGAAGCUAACCGAAACGGAGUUGGCGCUUUACAGCGCGGCGGUAUUACUAAGUCCUGAUCGACCGGGACUGAAGGGAUUGGCGGAAAUAACGAGGCUUUAUCAAGCGGUGAUACGUGCACUGAGGUCGGAGUUGGACCGGAAUCACGUGUCACCGAUAAAAGGGGACGUAACCGUGUGCGAUGCGAUCCUCGCUAAGAUUCCCCAACUGCGUGAGAUCUCGCUCUUACACAUGGACGCCCUGGCAAAGUUCAAACGGUCGCAACCGCACCUCGAGUUUCCGGCCCUUCACAAAGAGCUUUUCAGCGUCGACAGCUGAACGAUCGACGCGACGCAGGGCGUCCCGACGCUGACAAACAAAGCGGAACGCGAAUAGCGCGGGGCCUUGCUCUGUCGAGAUAAUUUCCUUCGUAAAGAACGUAUUGGGCCUUAAAUAAACAUAAAAUUGUUAUAUAUAAAGUAUACAUAAA
rnacentral:misc_RNA from 1 species